GCAACAUCUGGAGGGCCGGAGUUUGAGGACCCCUGCGUUAGAGAAUAAUCCUGACUGUAAAUAAACUAUAGAACUAAAUCUGAGCCAAUUGUUAAGAAAUGUCUGUGCUAACUGUGUAAGUUACAUUACAGCAAGCUGUAUCCUUCAGCAUUUUUGGAAAAGUAUACAGUUUUGGACUGUUCUGGACUUCAUCUCCCAUAAUGCUCUGACAGCCAUGACGCUGGCAAAGCAUCAGGGGAGAUAUAGUCCACAACAUCUGGAGUGUGGAAGGCUGCCUACCACUGGCUUUGUUGGAGCAAACCUACAGAGCACCCUACGAGGCACAGAACAGGCACCAGUCCUACCAGAACCUUAAAUGAAAAACACAAGGUUGUGGUACCCAGGUCAACUG